ACCGCUCACUGAUCAGCUAUGUUUUCUGAACGCAGCCAUUGCUAGUUCGCCGCGUCGCCGCGGAACGUUUUUUGGUGACGAGCUAAGUACAGCCUGUCGCUAAACGAACCCUUGUUCUCCUUCUGCGAUUCCUUAGCGACACCUUGCCCAGCACCGCGGGCACGUAAUGCAUUCGAGCAUUACGGGUGUACGGGAUGACCACGACCUCCUGGCGACCGUUCGCCAUAAGUGAAAAUUAAUGUCAAACUCGAAAAGUGCAGUGAGACGCGCGCGAGCGACGAGGCGCGAUAUCGGAACGAUAACCGCGCUGGCCUCGGUUCACCGCUGUACGUCGCCGUACUCGGGUCGCCGCGACGAGGUUAUGUCGCGCGUUCGUCCCUUGCCGUUGUCCCCGACGCAACGCGCACGCUCGCAGUGAAUAGAAAUUAAUGAUUUGUUAUUUGUAGUGCUAAAACCGAGCCGGAGAUGUUAGGCAAAGAUCUGACACUCUCCUCCAGUGCAGUGUGUGGCUUCACCGAAGAGCGUCCACCAGGUGUUCGCCGCCCCGGAUCUAUCUCACGAGAAGGAAGAGAGCGUGCUUCACUUCCCACGUCCGCACCCACCGACUCGGCUGCACACAGAAAGAGGGAAGUAAUGGAGAGGCAGCGGUCGAGGAGUCUCCGCUGAGCUCAGUCAACAGAGGAACUGAGGACGUCGCCCUUAGGAUAUCCACGACUACGUCACCUCUGCUCCUGUCACUUAACUCACCACUGGGCUGUGAGUACGCAGCAUAUAAUCAACGCUCUUCCUAUUCACUAACAAAUUUAACCAAAUAGUGCUCUGAAUUGCAAGUACUAUUAGGAAACUAGAAGGUUACAUACACUAGAAGCCUGCUGCACAGCUACAAAAUAUAAUAACCUCCCAGACAGCAACUGUCAAAGUAACAAAUUGCUGUGGAGGUUAGGUGUGCUUGUGACCCUAUGACAGCCAAAGGUGUUAUUGCAGCUACACAGGAAAAGGCAGCGACGGUCACAAACACUCAUGCAACUAAAUAAAACAGUCACAGUGCAGCAGUGGCCCAGAGAUAUGCAGGAGAGAGAAAAACUACUGCCAUAUAUUGGUCGCUGAUAGUAGUCGCAGACUCAUAGCUGACUCUACACCACACCUGCGUGAGCAAAACCAGUAUCUAUAAAACAUGCAUGUCAUUGUAUGUCACCGCUGUUUCUAUUAGUGCAACAUUGAUGUGCCUCUCAUGGGUUUUCCCAUGGGCAACAUAUUACAAUGUCAGCUCAAUCAUAUGGUAUAUUAUGUAACUGUUACUUUUUUAUAUAACAAAGUAACAGUUACGUAAUAUACCAUAUGAUUGAGCUGACAUUGUAACAUCGAUGAUACUUUGUGUUUUCUGGGUAUAUAUGGGGACAAGUUUUCUUCGCCUACAAGUAUCUCUGAUGGGUGAUCACGAGAAUUAUGGUACAGUUUUCAAUACAGAAUGCAAUGCAUGCCGUAUAGGUGAAAUGUUGUCGUACUAAAAUAAAUUCAAUUUUUUUCUGCCAAUGUACAUAUAUCAACAUUUUAUCGAUGAUACUUUAUGUUUACUGGAUAUCUUCAACAACCUUCAGUGAAGUGGAACGACAUAUGCAAAAUUUGUUGCGACGACCAAUUGAGGUCGCUGUUAUUAAAAAAAUAAAAAAUAAAUAUAUUUUAACUAUA